AUGGGUCGAGAUCAAACGGCCCCGUCCAAAUCCAACUGUGGUUCAAUCCCUCCGCUUCUCCUCGCCGUGCAGGUCCUCGUCGCCUCGCUCGCCGACGACUCCCCGCGCGCCCGCGACUCCGCCCUCGCCGCGCUCCGCGAGAUCGCGCCGCUGAACCCGCUGCUCGUCCUCGACUGCUGCGCCACCGUCUCCCGGGGCGGCCACCGGCGCUUUGGCAACAUGGCCGGGGUUUUCCUCGUCAUGGCCUCCGCCGUCAGGGCUCUCGACCGCCGGGAUGCCGAGCGCGAGUUCCUCCGGAAAAUCGCCAAGAUUGCCACCGCAGAGAUUGUUAGCUCAAAGGACUUCAAUGUUGAUUGGCAAAGAGCGGCAGCUACUCUUCUUGUUGCCAUUGGGUCACAUGACCCAGAUUUGAUGAUGGAGGAGAUAUUUCUUUACUUCUCUGGCCCAACUUCUGCUUUGCCAGCCAUGUUACAGAUACUUGCAGACUUUGCAUCUGCUGAAGCCCUGCAGUUCACUCCACGAUUGAAGGAUGUACUUUUGCGCGUUUUACCUAUCCUAGGAAGUGUACGAGAUGGCCAACGACCUGUAUUUGCUAAUGCAUUAAAGUGUUGGUGCCAGGCUGCAUGGGUGUAUAUAGGAGACGCCUCUUCAGGGCUUCCUUUUGAUGAUGAUGUUAUGUCCUUCAUGAAUUCAGUAUUUGAAUUACUUCUAAAAGUAUGGACGGGCUCCCGUGAUCUGAAGGUCCGUUUGUCUUCUGUGGAGGCUUUGGGAGAAAUGGUUGGCCUGGUCACUAGGUCACAGUUAAAAUCAGCUCUGCCAAGGAUUAUACCAACAAUGUUGGACCUAUGUAAGAAAGAUCAAGAAGUGGCUUUUACCGCGGCUCACAGUCUUCAUAACCUUCUUAAUGCAUCAUUACUGUCAGAAAGUGGCCCCCCUUUACUUGAGUUUGAGGAGCUAGCUGUUGUCUUGAUUACUCUUCUUCCUUUAGUAUCUGUCAACAUCAGCAAAGAUGAACGCUAUAUUUCAAAGGGAUUGAAGACAUACAAUGAACUCCAGCACUGUUUCUUGGUAACUGGAUUAGCAUAUCCUGAGGAUCUGUGCAUGUUCCUCCUGAGUAAAUGUAGGUCAAAAGAUGAAGCAUCAAUUGUUGGGGCACUUGGAACAAUAAAACAUCUAUUGCCCAGGUUGUUGGAAUCAUGGCAUACUAAGCAAACAUUGUUGGUUGAAAUAGUCAAAUCACUUCUAGAGGAGCAGAGCUUGGGUAUUCGAAUGGCACUAGCUGAGCUAAUUGUCGUUAUGGCUUCACAUUGCUACUUGAGUGGGCAUUCUGCUGAGCUCGCGGUUGAGUUUUUGGUGGGGCAUAGUGCUAUAACCGAUGAUGAUCUAAAUGAUAUCAACACUCUGAAAAAUGAGUACUUCCAGGACAAAAGAUUUGAGAUGAAAAUAAGUCUUGCUGGUCUAUCUGAACUAAGAGCUGUAUGUGAAAAGGGUCUACUUUUACUAGCAAUUACCAUUCCUGAAAUGGAGCUUGUUCUAUGGCCAUUUCUCUUGCAGCUGAUUAUCCCAAAGAAGUAUACAGGUGCAGUAGCUACGGUCUGCAAAUGCAUAACUGAAUUGUGUAGGCAUAAAUUGUCGCAGACAAAUGCACUAUAUACUGAGUUUAAUGCCUCAAACGAAAUGCCCAGUCCCGAGGAUCUGUUUGCUCGUUUGCUGGUGCUUCUGCAUAAUCCACUUUCUAGGGGGCAACUCGCUACCCAGAUCCUGACGGUGCUGUGCUACUUGGGUCAACUUUUCCCAAGAAACCUUUCUUUAUUUUGGGAAGAUGAGGUCCCUAAGAUGAAAGCUUACAUCAGUGAUCCUGAAGAUCUUAAGCAAGAUAGCACCUACCAGGAAAUAUGGGAUAACAUGAUAAUCAAUUUUUUAGCUGAAUCCUUGGAUGUUGUGAAUGAUAAUGUGUGGGUCAUAUCCUUGGGCGAUGCAUUUGCUAGACAAUAUGAUCUCUAUGCUACAUCUGAUGGGCAUUCAGCUUUGUUGCACAGAUGUUUAGGAAUGCUUCUUCAGAAGGUUGAUGAUAGGAUUUAUGUCCGUGAAAAGAUUGAUUUGAUGUGUAGACAUUCAAGUAUGUCUAUCCCUGUUAAUCGCCUUGGACUUGCCCAAGGCAUUGGUUUGGUUGCAGCUUCUCAUUUGGACACAGUUUUGGAGAAGCUGAAGAACAUAUUAGAAAAUGCAGGGCAAAGUGCUCUCCAGAGGUUCCUCUCAUUUUUCUCGUUUAGAGAAAAAGUGGAGGAUGUUGAUGAUACGUACGCAGCUCUGGCUUUGAUGUAUGGUUAUGCUGCAAGAUAUGCCCCAUCAACAGUAAUUGAAGCCAGAAUCAACGCACUUGUGGGGACCGAUAUGCUUGGAAGAUUCCUUCAUGUUCAACAUCCUACUGCAAAGCAAGCUGUCAUUACUGCAAUUGACCUUUUAGGCCGGGCUGUUAUUAGUGCUGCUGAAAUAGGAAUUUCGUUCCCACUGCAACGAAGAGAUCAAUUGCUGGAGUAUGUGCUAACUCUAAUGGGAAGGGAUCAAAGUGAUGAUCUCGUUGAUUUCAGCAUUGAGCUUCUGCAAACACAAACUGUUGCUUUGAGUGCUUGUACUACUCUGGUUUCAAUAGAGCCAAGGUUACCUAUGGAAACAAGAAAUCGUGUCAUGAAGGCAACCUUAGGUUUUUUUGCUUUGCCAACUGAGCCCUCAAACAUUGUUGAGAGCCUGAUAACAAACCUCAUUAUUCUGUUAGGUGCCAUUCUGCUAACUAGCGGUGAAGAUGGCCGAAGCAGAGCAGAGCAGCUGUUGCAUAUUCUUAGACAACUCGAUCCAUAUGUUUCAGCAUCUGCAGAACACCAGAGAAGAAGGGGAUGUGUUGCUGUACAUGAGGUGUUAGUAAAGUUCCGCAAUCUUUGUUCUGGUGGAUUUGGUGCAUCGGGCUCCUAUCCAACUUUGAGCCUAAAGCACAUUGAUCAGGGAGGGCCUAGGGGCUCGUCAAGUUUGCCAUCUGCAUUUGUGUUGCCGAAUCGAGAUUCAUUAAGCUUGGGCGAGAGAAUAAUGGCAUAUCUACCUCGUUGUGCUGAUACAGAUGAUGAAGUUAGGAAAGUUGCGAUUCAGAUCAUUGCACUUUUCUUCAAUAUAUCACUGUCACUUCCAAAGCAGAAGACAUCUGCUAAUGACAUCGAUCUAGAAUCUUCAUACGGUGCUUUGUCCUCCCUAGAGGACAUAGUCUCCAUCAUCAGAAGGGCAUCUGUUGAUCAGAUCGAAGUAUUUCAUAGAGUUGUCUCCUCUGUGUGUAUUCUACUAUCUAAGGAUGAGCUGGUUGUCUUGCUACACUCUUGCACAUUAGCGGCAUGUGAUAAAGUGAAGCAAUCAGCAGAUGGUUCCAUUCAAGCUAUUAUAGUAUUUAUUAUCAGAAGAGGCAAGGAUCUACGUGAAGCUGAUGUACUGAGGACAACACAAUCUCUGCUCUCAUCAGCUAUUGCUCUUACCGACAAGCACUCGCGCCAAGAAGUUCUCAAUGCAAUAUCAUGCUUAGCAGAAAAUACCAACCACAUUGUGGUCUUUGAUGAAGUUCUAUUUGUGGCUGGGCGAGAUAUUUGUACAAAGGACAUAACAAGAAUUCGUGGCGGUUGGGCUAUACAAGAUGUUUUUUAUGUUUUCUCCCAGCAUAAGGUGCUGGCUACUCUUUUUCUGGAGUACAUUUUAUCUAUACUUCACAAAGAACCUGUUGCAACAAAUGAUUCAGAAAAAGGGGAAAUUAACUCAGAGUCAUCAGCUGAUGACUGUAUUCUACAAGCAACUAUGUUCGCUCUCAAUGCGUUCUUGAGAGGUGGUGGGAAGGUCGGGAAACAAGCAGUUGAGCAAAGCUACCCUUCUGUCCUUUCUGCACUUAUACUGAAGCUGGGAGGUCUUCACGGUCUUGCUGAAUUAGGCCGCAAUGAGCUUCUACGAUCAUUGUUAAUUGCAUUCCAGUCAUUCUGUGAUUGUGUUGGCGAUGUCGAGAUGGGAAAGAUAUUAGCUCGAGAUGGCGAACGAACCGAGAAGGAGAAGUGGAUUGAUCUUGUGCAAGAGGUUGCAUGCAGUUCCUCAGUAAAGAGGCCCAAUGAGGUUCUGCCAACCUGCGUUAUCUUGAGCAAAUCUCUUGACAGGAAUCAGAGGGCUGAAAGGGAGGCUGCUGCUGCUGCACUAUCAGAAUUUAUUCGCCACAGUGAAAAAGAACCUGCAUUGCUUGAACAAAUGGUUGAGGAAUUGUGUCAACAUGUAACCGACGACUCACCGACUGUCAGGAGUCUCUGCUUGCGAGGACUUGUACAGAUACCCGAGAGCCACAUACUUAAUUACAUCCAGCAAGUCCUAGGAGUAAUAUUAGCAUUACUUGAAGAUGCCACCGAAUCUGUUCAACUCACUGCUGUCCAGUGCCUGUUAACCGUUCUUAAUGUGUCAGAACAAGAUGCAGUGGACCCCAUUUUAAUAAGUCUCUUAGUAAGGCUAAGGAAUCUCCAGAUCUCCAUGAAUACAAAAAUGAGGUCCAAUGCCUUUGCAGCUUAUGGUGCUCUAAGUGCCUAUGGUGCUGGUUCACAGCAUCAUGCUUUUCUUGAGCAGAUACAUGCCACUCUUCCGCGUUUGAUCCUCCAUCUUCAUGAUAAUGACCUUAGCGUUCGCCUUGCCUGUCGGAACACAUUCCAGCUCCUAGCGCCUUUGAUGGAAGUAGAUGGCUUGUCUUCACUCCUUAACAAGCAAUAUUUCACAUCUGAUCGGCGAUCUGAUUACGAGGACUUCAUUAGGGACUUAACAAGACAACUUUGUCGACUAUCUCCCGUCAGAGUUGACAGCUACCUAGAAUCUGCUAUCCAGGCAUUUGAUGCACCUUGGCCGGUCAUUCAAGCAAAUGCAGUUUGCUUGGUUAGUUGCAUGCUAUCCUUUUUGGAUGAUCAACGCUUCCUUGCUCCUUACUUCUCCCAGGUGUUCGCUAUGUUGGUUGGCAGAAUCAGCCAAUCACCAGAGGCCGUUGUUCGAGCAGCAGCAUCUUCUGCAUUGGGCCUCCUGAUAAAGAGGUCUAACAUGCUCAAGUCAUUGAGUUCACGGUUUGAUCGAACAGAUCCGUCACAGAGUUCUCAACAUGGAGAGCCUCACGCUAAAACAUCGUCUGAGCUUCAAGAAGAGGCUGCAGCAAAGCCAAAUGGUGCGCAAGGAGAGCAAUAG
rnacentral:rRNA from 1 species